GCCGGGAUAGCUCAGCUGGGAGAGCAACAGACUGAAGUUUCAAUUGGAUUCUGGAGGUCCCGUGUUCAAUCCACGGUCCUGGCA